UACAGAGGGUGCAAGCGUUGCUCGGAUUUACUGGGCGUAAAGCGUACGCAGACGGUGAGGAAGGUCGGAUGUGAAAGCCCUGGGCUCAACCCAGGAACUGCAUCCGAAACCCCCUCGCUAGAGUAUGGGAGAGGGAAGCGGAAUUCCUGGUGUAGAGGUGAAAUUCGUAGAUAUCAGGAGGAACAUCUGCGGCGAAGGCGGCUCCUGGCCCAUUACUGACGUUCAGG
rnacentral:rRNA from 1 species